GGUGCUGUGGCGCAGUGGGUUAACGUCUUGGCCUGAAGUGCCAGCAUCCCAUACGGGCGCCAGUUCAAACCUGGCUGCUCCA
rnacentral:tRNA from 1 species